UACCCUUGAACAUUUUUAAAUUUAUCAUUGAACUUCCAACGAGUUACUUUAAAUGAGAAAUUAGGAGGUUUACAAUGUGUAACCACACAGAGAUCAUUCAACAAUGCAAAUAUAGACUAUAGGCAGGCAUGCAUGGCAGAAAAUCCG
ensembl:ncRNA F13B12.12 ncRNA